GACGAACGCUGGCGGCGUGCUUAACACAUGCAAGUCGAACGGAAAGGCCCUGCUUUUGUGGGGUGCUCGAGUGGCGAACGGGGGAGUAACACGUGAGUAACCUGCCCUUGACUUUGGGAUAACUUCAGGAAACUGGGGCUAAUACCGGAUAGGAGCUCCUGCUGCAUGGUGGGGGUUGGAAAGUUUCGGCGGUAGGGGAUGGACUCGCGGCUUAUCAGCUUGUUGGUGGGGUAGUGGCUUACCAAGGCUUUGACGGGUAGCCGGCCUGAGAGGGUGACCGGCGACAUGGGGACUGAGGUACGGCCCAGACGCCUACGGGAGGCAGAAGUGGGGAAUAUUGCACAAUGGGCGCAAGCCUGAUGCAGCAACGCCGUGUGCGGGAUGACGGCCUUCGGGUUGUAAACCGCUUUCGCCUGUGACGAAGCGUGAGUGACGGUAAUGGGUAAAGAAGCACCGGCUAACUACGUG
rnacentral:rRNA from 1 species